AACGAACGCUGGCGGCAUGCCUAACACAUGCAGGUCGAACGAGACCUUCGGGUCUAGUGGCGCACGGGUGCGUAACGCGUGGGAACCUGCCCUUAGGUUCGGAAUAACUCAGAGAAAUUUGAGCUAAUACCGGAUGAUGUCUUCGGACCAAAGAUUUAUCGCCUUUAGAUGGGCCCGCGUUGGAUUAGCUAGUUGGUGGGGUAAAGGCCUACCAAGGCGACGAUCCAUAGCUGGUCUGAGAGGAUGAUCAGCCACACUGGGACUGAGACACGGCCCAGACUCCUACGGGAGGCAGCAGUGGGGAAUAUUGGACAAUGGGCGAAAGCCUGAUCCAGCAAUGCCGCGUGAGUGAUGAAGGCCUUAGGGUUGUAAAGCUCUUUUACCCGAGAUGAUAAUGACAGUAUCGGGAGAAUAAGCUCCGGCUAACUCCGUG
rnacentral:rRNA from 1 species